rnacentral:rRNA from 1 species
AUACCAGCACCCCGAGUUGUCGGGACGAUUAUUGGGCCUAAAGCAUCCGUAGCCUGUUCUGCAAGUCCUCCGUUAAAUCCACCUGCUUAACGGAUGGGCUGCGGGGGAUACCGCAGAGCUAGGAGGCGGGAGAGGCAAACGGUACUCAGUGGGUAGGGGUAAAAUCCAUUGAUCCACUGAAGACCACCAGUGGCGAAGGCGGCUUGCCAGAACGCGCUCGACGGUGAGGGAUGAAAGCUGGGGGAGCAAACCGGAUUAGAUACCCGGGUAGUCCCAGCUGUAAACGAUGCAGACUCGGUGAUGGGUUGGCCUUGUGCCAACCCAGUGCCGCAGGGAAGCCGUUAAGUCUGCCGCCUGGGGAGUACGGUCGCAAGACUGAAACUUAAAUGAAUUGGCGGGG